UACGGGGGGGGGCAAGCGUUGUUCGGAAUUACUGGGCGUAAAGGGCUCGUAGGCGGCCAACUAAGUCGGAUGUGAAAUCCCCAGGCUUAACCUGGGAACUGCAUCCGAUACUGGAUGGCUUGAAUCCGGGAGAGGGAUGCAGAAUUCCAGGUGUAGCGGUGAAAUGCGUAGAGAUCGGGAGGAAUACCGGUGGCGAAAGCGACUCUCUGGACGGCAACUGACGCUGAGGCACGAAAGCGUGGGGAGCAAACAGG
rnacentral:rRNA from 1 species